AGCGAACGCUGGCGGCGUGCUUAACACAUGCAAGUCGAGUGCGCGGUUCGUAGCAAUACGAACUGGCGCACGGCGCACGGGUGAGGAACACGUGGGCAACAUGCCCUCCGAUGGGGAAUAACCCACCGAAAGGCGGGCUAAUACCGCAUACGAUUCCGGGGACCUCGGUUCCUGGACUGAAAGCCCGCAAGGGCGUCGGUGGAGUGGCCCGCGGCCGAUUAGCUUGUUGGCGGGGUAACGGCCCACCAAGGCAAUGAUCGGUAGCCGGUCCUGAGAGGAUGAUCGGCCACACUGGAACUGAGACACGGUCCAGACUCCUACGGGAGGCAGCAGUGGGGAAUCUUGCGCAAUGGGCGAAAGCCUGACGCAGCGACGCCGCGUGGGGAGUGAAGCCUUUC
rnacentral:rRNA from 1 species